rnacentral:lncRNA from 1 species
AGCAUAAUAUGGUGGGAGAAGUCAUUUGGUGUGUUUUGAGUGAAAUCCAAUGGCUAAAACUAUGCAAUACACCAACCACUCCAUUUCAUAACGAACAUCGUUCGAACCUGAAUUGUCCAAUUUCGUUGACCAAUCGAUUUCGGAUUGAGUCCAAAACUUGGGGAACAUUAUAAUAUGGUGGUAGGACUCAUUUGGUGGGUUUUGAGUGAAAUCCAAUAUGUAGAACUUUGCAAUACAUCAACCACUCC